UUCUUUCGUGUUGAAAUUGGUAUGGAGACGUGGAUGGAGAUUUGAGUCUUAGGAAUUUGGGAAGAGCUCAAGUGAUUCGAAUGAAAAGACCUUGGCACAGACCUGUUAAGGAAGCUCCAUAUAAAGUGAAGAAAACAACAUGCUCAGCCAUGUCCUUGCCUUCUGCGCACGGUAGUGCAUUCACUGCCUGAGAAUUCAAGGCUAAAACAAAAAGAGGAGCUUUUGUUCCAACGGAUAAGUACUUACCUUUUUCAAAAAAUGCAUAAGCUGUCCUGGGUGUUUAGCAGUUAUUCGCACAGCUUUCCAAAGACUCACAGCAUUUAAAAGCUAACCCUACAGACAUUCAACAGCUUCUUCCAGGUCCCACCACAGUGGAAAAGAACUCCGGUGUCCUGGCUCCCUGUCCAGCUCUUCUCUCUCCCCUUCCAGCUGCCAUUUCAGCUUUAAGAAGUUCAUUCUCCACAUUCAGAUGCAGGCAAAUGCGUUUGACUUGAGCAUAUUGAUUUCAGGCAGGUGAGAGUGGAUGUAGUGAUUCAGC
rnacentral:antisense_RNA from 1 species